GCCAGGUGUGGUGGUGUACACCUGUAGUCCCAGUUGCUCGGGAGGCUGAGGCAGGAGGAUCACUUGAGCCCAGGAGGUUGAGGCUGCAGUGAGCCCUGAUUGCACCACUGCAUUCCAGCCUGGGUGACAGAGCGAGACCCUGUCUUAA
rnacentral:SRP_RNA from 1 species